rnacentral:rRNA from 1 species
AGCGAACGCUGGCGGCAGGCCUAACACAUGCAAGUCGAACGAAGCCUUCGGGCUUAGUGGCGGACGGGUGAGUAACACGUGGGAACGUACCUUUUGGUUCGGAAUAACGCAGAGAAAUUUGCGCUAAUACCGGAUGAGCCCUUCGGGGGAAAGAUUUAUCGCCGAAAGAUCGGCCCGCGUUGGAUUAGGUAGUUGGUGGGGUAAAGGCGCACCAAGCCUACGAUCCAUAGCUGGUCUGAGGGGAUGAUCAGCCACACUGGGACUGAGACACGGCCCAGACUCCUACGGGGGGCAGCAGUGGGGAAUCUUGCGCAAUGGGCGAAAGCCUGACGCAGCCAUGCCGCGUGAAUGAUGAAGGUCUUAGGAUUGUAAAAUUCUUUUACCAGGGACGAUAAUGACGGUACCUGGAGAAAAAGCCCCGGCUAACUUCGUGCCAGCAGCCGCAGUAACAC